rnacentral:rRNA from 1 species
UACGUAGGUGGCAAGCGUUGUCCGGAUUUACUGGGCGUAAAGAGCGCGCAGGCGGUCGUUCAAGUCGCGUGUGAAAGCCCCCGGCUCAACUGGGGAGGGUCACGCGAUACUGAUCGACUGGAAGGCAGGAGAGGGUAGUGGAAUUCCCGGUGUAGUGGUGAAAUGCGUAGAUAUCGGGAGGAACACCAGUGGCGAAGGCGACUACCUGGCCUGUUCUUGACGCUGAGGCGCGAAAGCUAGGGGAGCAGACGGG